GGGGAUGGGAAGAGUCACUCACCGCUCAAAGGACAGUGGAUCCAUGCAGCUGCCUUUGAAAGCAUUGUGGUAACAUCUGGUGAAGUUGAAAAUGUGGAUACGAUUGACCCAAGAAGCGUCUAUAUAGAUAUGAAUCCUGAAGUAUUUUGAAACUGUGCACAAGGUGACACACUCAAGAAGUUCACGUCGAGGACCUGAGGCAGAAAAGGCUGAUUCUGCAGCCACCGGCAGUUACACAGCUCAGUGCCCAUUGCAGAAGAAAAACAUAAUGAUGGGAGAACAAGUUUCUAAACAGAAAAGAACACCUGGUAAUGAAGAAGUGUCGCACUUGGGAGGAUGAGAUAAGGGAACAAGGACUAUAGAGAUGGAAAGAUGAACCAUGGCCUCGCAGUUAACAGCUGACUUGAAUUCGUGACUGUCUGAAUUAAGAGUUU
rnacentral:lncRNA from 1 species